UACGUAGGGUGCAAGCGUUAAUCGGAAUUACUGGGCGUAAAGCGUGCGCAGGCGGUUAUGUAAGACAGUUGUGAAAUCCCCGGGCUCAACCUGGGAAUUGCAUCUGUGACUGCAUCGCUAGAGUACGGUAGAGGGGGAUGGAAUUCCGCGUGUAGCAGUGAAAUGCGUAGAUAUGCGGAGGAACACCGAUGGCGAAGGCAAUCCCCUGGACCUGUACUGACGCUCAUGCACGAAAGCGUGGGGAGCAAACAGG
rnacentral:rRNA from 1 species